rnacentral:rRNA from 1 species
UACAGGGGGGGCAAGCGUUGUUCGGAAUUACUGGGCGUAAAGGGUUCGUAGGUGGCCACCUAAGUCAGACGUGAAAUCCCUCAGCUUAACUGGGGAACUGCGUCUGAUACUGGGUGGCUUGAGUGCAGGAGAGGAAUGCGGAAUUCCAGGUGUAGCGGUGAAAUGCGCAGAUAUCGGGAGGAACACCGGUGGCGAAGGCGGUUCUCUGGGCCUUACCUGACGCUGAGGAGCGAAAGCGUGGGGAGCGAACAGG